rnacentral:tRNA from 1 species
GGUCUUGUGGCCCAAUGGCAAGGCGUUUGACUACGAUCUGCAAUAACAAGCAGUAGCACAUCAAAAGAUUGCAGGUUCGAUCCCUGCCAAGAUCA